GCAGACAAAUUUCCUUCUUUUUAGGAUGAGGCAUAAGUCAAACUCUUCUUAAAUUAAGUCAAAUGAUUUUACCUAAAACUCUCUUGAAAGAUCAUUUUGGCUAAAUUUAAGAACACUUAUUUUAAAGGGGAACUUGGCAACUAUUUCAACGUAAUAAACCCGUUUAUAAAUAAUGCACUGGCAGAUAGAUGUGCUUGUUUCAGGAUGAGACAUCUUAUAAUAAAUCAAACUCUUCUUAAAUUAAAGGGGUGAUAGAAUGAUUAUAUAGGGUAUUUCACGCUGUUCCUUAAGGUUUCCGAAUAGAGUAUGUAACAUUGGUUGGGCUGAAAAUGGCCCGUGUGCUGUUCUAUGCGCCCUAAGGCAAGCCUAGGAAAUAGGCCCUAGAAUGAACGAGAGGUUUUCUCCCUUUUAUGGUAUGCUCAUGAAUAUUUAGAUGAACUGCGUGCUGAUUGGUUGGUUUACAACGAGCGAAGCUCCAGAGCAAAGACGGCAACAUGGCUGAAACCAAGGUUGAAUACGGAGACAUACAGUAGGUGUUGAACAGCAUAUUUGAGCCUGAAUCAGAGGAAGAAUCUGAAAUAGAGGAGCAACCAGUCGCCCAUAGAUUGGAAAUGACUACUUCAGAGUUAUUAAAAGAAUGACCCAGGUUCCUGAGGAGCUGACCUGAAUGACCAUCAUGGCCUCGAUCCGUUGUGCCUCUAUAUUCUUUGCAAAAUGCAAUGAAUAUUUACAGAGCUGACCAUGACCGUUUGAGAAUCAGAGGGAUGGAAAGGCAAUGAAGUGACUUGGCCUACAGGUCUUUUGUGAGCAGGAGCUGGGGUUUCCUUAGAAGAAGCGUCCGUGUCAUGAUCCCCUCGUGUGUGGUGCUACGCAUAUGGAGGGAGCUUCCGGAUACUUCAGGGCAGUACGUUGGAUUCAGACCCCUUUUCGACUGAACCGUGACACAUGUUCAGCAACAGCAUCCUCCAUGGAAGGUCUGUCAAGCUGAGCACACAAGUCCUGGGGCACAGGAAUCCGCUGGACGGCAUCCCAAUAAGGAAGAGGGUCUUUGAUGAUCUCGAAGAGGACAAGAAAGAGGACUUAUAUUGGAUACUGUAAUACAGUGCAUUGUAAGCUGUAUACUGUACAAUAAACAAAUUGUAUGGCCCUGAACAUUGUGCUUUGUUUACAGUACUGAUGAUGAUUUCGACACCAGUAGCGUCAGGUCUAAGACAGCCUGUUGUGUGUGUGAAUCGAUAAGUUCUUUUUAGUGCCUAUACUGUUGCACAUUUUGAUUUGUUGUUUGUAAUAAAAAAAUAUAUAUUUUAUUAAACUUA